rnacentral:ncRNA from 1 species
GAGUGCUUGUCAGAAACCUCCCGUGGAGCAGAAGGGCAAAAGCUCGCUUGAUCUUGAUUUUCAGUAUGAAUACAGACCGUGAAAGCG